AAACUACAUACCUCGUUAUUUCUAAUUAAAAUGUUAAUGCGAGGAAUUAAUCACUUUGAUGACAUAUGACGACUGUCAGCCGCGGACCACUUGACUUAUGCCUGCGGACCACUAGUGGUCCGCUGACCACACUUUAAGAACCACUGCAAUAGAGAGACCAAGGAAGAGCCAAUAUUGGUACCAAGGCAGACCAAGGAGGCACCAAGCUUGGCCGAAUCUUGGUGUGUUUGCUGGGGUCUGUGUUUCGAGCGACGUUCUAUCAAAGACCUAUAGAUAAACGAACAUUGCCUUUUUUUUUUCUUUUUUUUUCUUUUUUCUUUUUUUUUUCUUUUUUUUUUUUUUUUUUUUUGUCACGGAUCAGUCCGUGCCUGCAUGUUUUAAAGCUAGUUUAAGCCCUUCGCUGUUUGUAAAUCACAAUGAUAAAUAACAUGUAUUGAUGAAUGUGUCAGCGAGGAAAGGGAGAUCACUCUAGGGACAUUUAGAAGAAGCAGACGGCAUUGGCGGACAUGAGAGUGGAAGAAUGUUGUGUGAGUGUGAAUGUGAGCGUAGAUCUUAGAAGUAAUUCCUUGCCUAGACAAGGUUUCUCUUUUCCUCCGUGUACGGGCAAUGGUGGUAGCGCCCUUGUGAUCGAGGAUUCGUGUAGAUCUAAUCUUGUCGCCAAGAAAAUGUAAAUGAGAUAAUAAAAUUGGAACUGUGUGUGGACGAACAGAACUACUGCCCAAAGGUGUGCUUAUGAGCUGGAGGUGUCAGAGUCACACAUCUGAAUCCAAAAGUACUUUUCCACAUCCAAUCUAGCUCUCAUUGCUGUCUCGACUGGCAGUGAAGUAAACUGCAUGCUGAAUGAUUGACAAAGAAAAUCCUCAAGACUCGUUUUGACAUGAUUUGGCCUAGCUAGGCUGGAAAGGUUGAAGAGGCUCAAGAAAAAUAAAAGAGAACCAUGAUCACACUGCCAACACUUCACUUUCUCUUUGUCCUUCUUGGCGUAUUCUUGUACUCGACUGAUAAUGAAAUGACAAUGGACAUA